rnacentral:rRNA from 1 species
UGCCAGCAGCCGCGGUAAUACGUAGGAUCAAAGCGUUAUCCGGAAUCAUUGGGUUUAAAGGGUCCGCAGGCGGAUGUAUAAGUCAGUGGUGAAAUCCUGCAGCUUAACUGCAGAACUGCCAUUGAUACUGUACAUCUUGAAUUCGGUCGAAGUGGGCGGAAUGUGUAGUGUAGCGGUGAAAUGCAUAGAUAUUACACAGAACACCGAUAGCGAAGGCAGCUCACUAGGCCUGGAUUGACGCUCAUGGACGCAAGCGUGUGGAUCAAACAUGAUUAGAUA